GAUUAACGCUAGCGGCAGGCAUAAUACAUGCAAGUUGAACGGCAGCACAGGUAGCAAUACUGGGUGGCGAGUGGCGCACGGGUGCGUAACACGUAUGCAACCUACCCUAUACAGGCGAAUAACCUUUAGAAAUGAGGGCUAAUACGCCGUAGUAUUACAGAUGGGCAUCUAUUUGUAAUUAAAGUUUUAUCGGUAUAGGAUGGGCAUGCGUCCCAUUAGUUAGUUGGUAAGGUAACGGCUUACCAAGACGAUGAUGGGUAGGGGAUCUGAGAGGACUUACCCCCACACUGGUACUGGGACACGGGCCAGACUCCUACGGGAGGCAGCAGUAAGGAAUAUUGGGCAAUGGCCGCGAGGCUGACCCAGCCAUGCCGCGUGCAGGAAGACGGCCUUAUGGGUUGUAAACUGCUUUUAUACGGGAAUAAUAGAGUGUACGCGUACAUUUAUGCAAGUAUCGUAUGAAUAAGCAUCGGCUAACUCCGUG
rnacentral:rRNA from 1 species